AGAGUUUGAUCCUGGCUCAGAAUGAACGUUGGCGGCGUGGAUUAGGCAUGCAAGUCGAGCGAGAAGUUUCCCUUCGGGGGGACGGACAGCGGCGAACGGGAGAGUAACGCGUGGAGUACCUGCCCUUGGAUUCGGGAUAGCUGCGGGAAACUGCAGGUAAUACCGGAUAAUGUCUCCGGACCAAGGUGUGAUUCCGUCUGAAGAUGGCUCCGCGUCCUACUAGCUUGUUGGUGAGGUAACGGCUCACCAAGGCGACAUGGGUACCGGGUGUGAGAGCAUGACCCGGCUCACUGGGACUGAGACACUGCCCAGACACCUACGGGUGGCUGCAGUCGAGAAUCUUCGGCAAUGGACGCAAGUCCGACCGAGCGACGNNCGCGUGCGGGAUGAAGGCCUUCGGGUUGUAAACCGCUGUCAGUGGGGAGGAAAUCCAAGGGGGUUAUCCCUUUUGGUUGACCUAUCUUCAGAGGAAGUGCGGGCUAAGUUCGUGCCAGCAGCCGCGGUAAGACGAACCGCACNGAACGUUAUUCGGAAUUACUGGGCUUAAAGGGUGCGUAGGCGGCCCGGCAAGUUGGGUGUGAAAGCCCUCGGCUCAACCGAGGAACUGCGCUCAAAACUGCCGGACUUGAGGGAGAUAGAGGUGAGCGGAACUUAGGGUGGAGCGGUGAAAUGCGUUGAUAUCCUAAGGAACACCAGUUGCGAAGGCGGCUCACUGGGUCUCUUCUGACGCUGAGGCACGAAAGCUAGGGGAGCGAAGAGGAUUAGAUACCCUGGUAGUC
rnacentral:rRNA from 1 species